rnacentral:rRNA from 1 species
GACGAACGCUGGCGGUGUGCUUAACACAUGCAAGUCGAACGGAAAGACCCUGCUUUUGUGGGCUGCUCGAGUGGCGAACGCGUGAGUAACACGUGAGUAACCUGCCCUUCACUUUGGGAUGACUUCACGAAACUGGGGUUAAUACCAGACAGCAUCUCCUGCUGCGUUGUAGGCGUUGGAAAGUUUCGGCGGUUGGGGAUGGACUCGCGGCUUAUCAGCUUGUUGGUGGGGUAGUGGUUUACCAAGGCUUUGACGGGUAGCCGGCCUGAGAGGGUGACCGGCCACAAUGGGACUGAGAUACGGACCAGACUCCUACGUGAGGCAGUAGUGGGGAAUCUUACACAAUGGGCGGAAGCGUGAUGCAGCAACGCCGCGUGCGGGAUGACGGCCUUCUGGUUGUAAACCGCUUUCGCCUGUGACGCAGCGUUAGUGACGGUAAUGGAUAAAGAAGCACCGGCUAACUACGUG